GUUUGGGAAUUUGGACCAGGGAAAAGUGGCUGAGGUCUGCCGUGGUCACGCAUGAAAGUUACUCUCCAUUUCCUGCUUCACUGCCCUGGAGGAGGCUGCCAGAAGUCAGAACAAGCCUGACUCUUUCUACCUCCAGUCCCUGCCUUUCUGUCCAAGGCAGCAGCUACUGCAGAUGGUGAAAGAGAAUCCCCCUUUGAGAGAAAAAGAAACACUGGGGUACACAUGAAAGGGGGAACAGGGAGACAUGAAGAAGAAAACAACCCUGGAGUCCGGGUGCUGAUUGCCUUUUUUAUUCGCUUGAAAACCCUCCCGGUGGAUUGAUUUGUGAUUUGGAUACCACUUCUCCAGCUUGGGACUCUGAAGUCUGUGCUUGUCAUGCACUUCAGACAGUCAGCAGCCUUCUCACAGCACAGCUCUGCAAGUGUUCAUAGCCACGCUUUCAAGUAAACAAAGUAAUGUCACACUCAUGAUGGAGCGAUGUCUGUCCAGGAGACUCUUCCGGAGCUAACAGAAGGCACAAAUAGGAGCAGCUCGCAGAGCUAAGGCCAGGAGGAUUCCAGCAGGCAGCUAUUGCUCUGGGAGCCUUUGCCUGAGGAAGCUGUGCAAGGCUAGAAAAUAGAAGCUGCUUCUUAAAGCUCUGAUUUUCAUUUGCAGAAGUGUAAGUAUGUGCAGAGCGAGACUGCCCCGAUUGCACCUGGUGGGCUUCGGAGAGCAGGCAGAGAGCCCAGCUGAAGGAAAAAGCUGUUCCCAGAGUCAGGGGAGGAAGGAGUUCUUUGGUCCUCGACUUGCAGGAACCUGCGCCCUGGCUACGUGGAGGUGGCUGAGCCUCCAGACCUGCAAGGACCACAUGAGACCUGGAAAGAUCUCCACAAGCCCUGGGGACAGAGGAUGACACAGUAGUAUCUAAGAUUGCAUUCCCCAAAAUGCUGGUGCCCUGGGGUGGGGGUCAAAGCCAGGGAAGCCAGUUUACAGAGAAUAAAGUAACAUUUCUUCCCCACUUCCUUCUGUUGGCUGAAAGUAAUUCCUUCUACAAUAAUUAUGUUAUAUUUACUGUUUUACAUAAAACACAAUGAGUUCAACUGAUCAAUUUUCAAUUUAUCAAUUUAUCAAAAUAAACAUGCUUAUAAAUGGAUUUAAUUUAAGCCUAGUUAUUGGGGGAAGUGGGAAAAAUACCUAUAGCUUCCAACAAACUUCUGUUCCUUCAUUAUUUAAUAUAUUUCAUAUUUAAUAAUGUUAAUAUUUCGUAACAGAGCAACAAGGGAAAGAAACCAAUUUUUUUUUUAGUGCAGAAUGUUAUAAUUUUAAGAUGUAAGAGUUUCUUUUGAAAGUUAUUUUGUAGUCUAUUUUAUAUUUUGAGCUUUUUAUGACAAGAACAUGAUACGCAGAAAGAUCUCUUUAAGUAUUUUUGUUGGAUGGCUGAUUUGAUUAAUGAAGGGAACUUGCAGUUUAUUGGAGUAUACAGUGGCACAAAUUUGGGAAGGUGACUUCACAACAUUAACAAGCAGCUUAAAAUUAUUCAUAGCUUUUGAUCCUGAAGUCCCAUUUCUAGGUAUUUGUGCUAAGGAAAUAAUUACAGAUAUAUGCAACAAUGAACAGAAUGCUCAGCUGAGUGGGGUUUAGAAAAAAAUUUUAAAAUUAGAAAGAACUCUAAUAUCUCAAAAUAAGACCCCGGCCAAAUAAGAAUGGCCCAUUAUAUAAUGAAAUGCAUUCAGCCAUUAUAAAUUACGUUUGUAUAAAUUAUGUGUUUGUUGUAUAUUCUUAAGAUAAACUCAGGUAUUCAAACAGAUGAGAUAUCCUUUCUCUACCCAAUCUAUCUGGCUUGUGUGUGUUUAUGGGAUUUUAAUUUUCUCCUUUUUUACAUGUAUUUUCUUAAUUUUCCUCAAUGGCAAAUCAUUACUACUAAAAUAAGAAAAAAAAUUAAUAAAAUAUGUAAGACUAAAUUUUAAAAAGAAAAAUGUGAAUAUAGGUUGUCACAUUUCUUUUUGUUCAAUAAAAAGAAAAAAUAUAUUAAAAA
rnacentral:lncRNA from 10 species